AUAUAUUGUGCCUCAGAAAUGGUAGUGCAAUGGAUAGAAAGUAUGUUAACAUAAACUUCCUGUAAAAUUAGUAACUCCAUAGGACAAGCCUUUGGUCAAUCGAACAAGGUGGCUCCAAUUUCUCACUCUGGGCCUGCAAGGUAUCUUUACACGUUUCCACAGGCCUAUAGAGUAAGGUAUUAUUCCUAGGCUUCUUCACAAUGACUGCCCAGAUUCUGGUGGGGACUGAAAUUGGGGAAAGGAACAAGCCCAGACCAAGAACCAGUAACUCCACAUAUGGUUGGCUCAUCCUACAUAGACUGUGCCUAUGGUGGGACAGAACUAGCAGCAGCAGCUAUUGGACUUGCUCAAAGAAGGAUGGUCGGCUUUCCCAGCACUACCAGCAGGCCCUGCCUACACCCAAAGAGUGACUGCCACAGAGAUAGUUCAAGGUGACAAUGGCUCCUCUGCAGCAGCACAUAGCAGUCUUGCCAGACACAACAGCAGAUCAAGUAACUACUGAAGAUGAUGGCUACACUUGGACAGCUGAGUGAAGAGAAUAUCCACUUUGUUGGCUUCUGACAUACACACUGACAGCACAGUUCACCAGACAACAAUCACUCUUCUGGCGUCCCUUUCCCCAGGUAUUCUAUUCGCUUACUGCUCUAUCUUCCCUGCCAGUCCACUCCCUCCUCUUUCCAGCCUGUGCCUUAGACAAGGACCCCAAACAAGGAUCACCUGGGAAACUCCAAAAAACAGAUUCCUAGUCAUAAUCCCAAUUUUACCAAAAAAGAAGCGUUUGGAAACCCCUUAGAUCGACAAGCAGCAUCCAAAGACACCAAAA